GGUCGGUGGUCGAGUGGUAAGGCGCUCUGAUUGUACUGACGGGUGCUGGCCUAUUGGUUGAGCGUGUGAGGCAAUCAGAGAGGCGUGGGUUCGAGUCCCACCAUGGCCA